rnacentral:lncRNA from 1 species
AUGUUAUUUUGCUUCUUUUCCUUGUAUGUCUCUACACGGUCCAUGUAACCUCCAGAUUUAUAAGAAGAAAAGAGUCUGUGACCCCCACACCUAUAGUCAAACAACCUCAUUGUUUGAUAUAAUGAAUGUGAACCUAAAACCAAAUUUUGCCAUGACAAAGCAUCUGUGGAAGAACUUCAGUGCCUUCAGGGAUUAAGAGGAGAAAUUGCUGGCAAAGUGGCUGACUCCAAAAUUAUUCCAGGAAUAAGACACAGUGGAGAAGGGUAAGGAGAGAGAAAGGAACCCUCAUGGGGCUGGACACAGGAUAAUUUU